rnacentral:rRNA from 1 species
UGUUAAUAGCAUAUUCAUUUGACGUUAGCUGCAGAAGAAAGCACCGGCUAACUCCGUGCCAGCAGCCGCGGUAAUACGGAGGGUGCGAGCGUUAAUCGGAAUUACUGGGCGUAAAGCGCAUGCAGGUGGUUUGUUAAGUCAGAUGUGAAAGACCCGGGGCGUCAACCUCGGAAUUGCAUUUGAAACUAGGCAAACUAAGAGUACUGUAGAGGGGGGUAGGAAUUUCAGGUGUAGCGGUGAAAUGCGUAGAGAUCUGAAGGAAUACCGGUGGCGAAGGCGGCCCCCUGGACAGAUACUGACACUCAGAUGCGAAAGCGUGGGGAGCAAACAGGAUUAGAUACCCUGGUAG